AUGUUCUCUACAUCUCUACUGCUCCUGCUGGCAGCUGCUUCUUAUGUGCAUGGUGAGGAACUGACUCAGCCUGCUUCCAUGACAGUCCAGCCAGGCCAGAGUCUCUCCAUCCAGUGCAAGGUUUCAUAUUCAGUUACGAGCGAUUAUACAGCUUGGAUUCGACAACCUGCAGGAAAAGCUCUGGAGUGGAUUGGAUACAUCAGAAGUGCUGGGAGUACAGUUUACAGUGAGAAACUGAAAAAUAAGUUCAGCAUCUCCAGAGACACUUCUACUAACACAAUAACAAUUGGAGGACAGAACAUGCAGACUGAAGACACAGCUGUGUAUUACUGCGCUCGUGAUUUCUCUUCUUUUUCA